AACGAACGCUGGCGGCAGGCCUAACACAUGCAAGUCGAGCGAACCGCAAGGUUAGCGGCGGACGGGUUAGUAACGCGUGGGAACGUGCCCAAAGGUACGGAAUAGCCUCGGGAAACUGAGAGUAAUACCGUAUGUGCCCGAAAGGGGAAAGAUUUAUCGCCUUUGGAUCGGCCGGCGUUGGAUUAGGUAGUUGGUGGGGUAAUGGCCUACCAAGCCGACGAUCCAUAGCUGGUUUGAGAGGAUGAUCAGCAACACUGGGACUGAGACACGGCCCAGACUCCUACGGGAGGCAGCAGUGGGGAAUCUUAGACAAUGGGGGAAACCCUGAUCUAGCCAUGCCGCGUGAGCGAUGAAGGCCUUAGGGUUGUAAAGCUCUUUCACCGGGGAAGAUAAUGACGGUACCCGGAGAAGAAGCCCCGGCUAACUCCGUGCCAGCCGCCGCCGUAACAC
rnacentral:rRNA from 1 species